UUUAACCUGUAUCACUGCUUUACUCUGUUGAGAAGGUGUAGAAUAUCAGACUCCUUCUACAGUACAUCAGGACACCAAUCAGCCUGCAGAUGGUGAUAACAUCUACGAAAAUGCUGAUAUCAGGACCACAGAUGAUUCUGCAGCUGGAACCAGCAAUAUGAUCCACUCACAGGAUGUCCACAGAAACAAGACACAAAAUGAUGCUGCUGCUGGACCAAGUGAUGUGACUUAUGCUGAUAUUGAACUGAAAAACCAAAAGAAGCCAAAGAGAAAACAAGGAAAGAGCAGUGAGGGAGCUGACACUGUUUACUCAGAACUGAAGCAGAACACAGAUAAAGGUCCAUGAAGAAAGUCUAAAGUCUCCAAUCAGGACUUGUUGAAACAGCUAAAGAACAUAUUUACAUAUUUAUACACAUAUUAGGGGGCACAUUGUAGUGUCUGGAAAGCUUGGGGGGGUUUUUUCUUGUUUUUUUGCUUAAUACAAAACUAUGCAUUGUACCAACUCCUGAUAUGAAUGUUAAAGGAGGAACAGGGAGCAAUUUUAAAAUUAUAUUUCCUAUUGUUCACAGUGGGUCAGAAUUGGCUUUAUCCAGGUUAAAUUAAGUUUCCAGUUUUCAUUCACUGGAUCAGUAUAAUUUAUAAGCUGGCAGUGUGGAUUACUAAGUGUUCACUCGUAUAUUGUAAUACUGAUCUUAAUGACAAAUAAAACAUGAAUAAAAAGUAUAUAUUGUUUCACAGUAAAAACGAGAUUUUUCUUACACAUUUCUGUCAACAUUUAAUUUCUUAGAUUGUAUGUACAUUAUUUUAUUGAAGUCAAGAUUCAUUCAUGUAUUUUUGUUUAUUUACUCAUUUAUGCUAUUUACCUAUUAGUGGAUUGUAAACAAAUUGCAUUUGUCAGUUUAGGAAUAAUCAGAUAUUUUGUCUUCACUGCUUUAAACAGUCAAUGAUGCAGUAUUGUCUUUGAGUGAGCGGUCCGUGGUCUUUUGGCACAUGGACUGAUAUUGUGUCUAAUUUUAUACCUUUAAUCUUUUUUAGUUUAGUGCCUCUAUAAUAUGUAAAUUAAUAUUUUUUAAAAAUAAUUAUAUAAUACUAUGUAUAUUUUAUCCUAAAAAAAGUAAAGUAAUAGAUGUCAUCAUUUUGAGUAAGAUAAUGUACUUUCUUUUGUUUUUCUCUGGUUUAUUGAUUUCAUCCAGCAGGAUGUGUUAAGUGUUACAGGAACAAAAGAAAUAUAAGUCUGUAUACAUGCUGUGUUAAGAGC